CCAUUCCCAAACCUGAAGCACCCUGUCCCCAGCAGGAAAGACCAGGAAAAUGUGUUCGUUUAAGGUGCAACUUCCUAUUGAGGAAAUGGGAAUUGGCCUGUAUGGCGAAGGCCAAAUUGAAAUGUUUCUCACUAAAAAAAAUAUGAGACGCCUAUGCAUAACCAUGGUAAAACUGAAAGGGAACACAUUGGAGAUGAGGAAAUGCUCAUAACAAAGCGAUUUAAAAACUAGGCAACCAAAGACCAGAGAGAGAGAGAUGACCUGGAGGGAGUUCCAGUCCUCAGCUUUUUAUGAAGCAGAAAAGCAAAGAUGAGUGGCUGACAAGGAAAAAUAAAGACAACAACUCUCUCUCACACUGUAACGAUUGUCGUCGGGAGAAGGAGAAGAGGACCAAGGUGC